UUCGGUUUGGGUGGCGGACGGGUGAGUAACGCGUAAAGAACUUGCCUCACAGAUAGGGACAACAUUUGGAAACGAAUGCUAAUACCUGAUAUUAUGAUUUUAGGGCAUCCUAGGAUUAUGAAAGCUAUAUGCGCUGUGAGAGAGCUUUGCGUCCCAUUAGCUAGUUGGAGAGGUAACGGCUCACCAAGGCGAUGAUGGGUAGCCGGCCUGAGAGGGUGAUCGGCCACAAGGGGACUGAGACACGGCCCUUACUCCUACGGGAGGCAGCAGUGGGGAAUAUUGGACAAUGGACCAAGAGUCUGAUCCAGCAAUUCUGUGUGCACGAUGAAGUUUUUCGGAAUGUAAAGUGCUUUCAGUUGGGAAGAAAAGAAUGACGGUACCAACAGAAGAAGUGACGGCUAAAUACGUGCCAGCAGCCGCGGUAAUACGUAUGUCACAAGCGUUAUCCGGAUUUAUUGGGCGUAAAGCGCGUCUAGGUGGUUAUGUAAGUCUGAUGUGAAAAUGCAGGGCUCAACUCUGUAUUGCGUUGGAAACUGUGUAACUAGAGUGCUGGAGAGGUAAGCGGAACUACAAGUGUAGAGGUGAAAUUCGUAGAUAUUUGUAGGAAUGCCGAUGGGGAAGCCAGCUUACUGGACAGAUAC
rnacentral:rRNA from 1 species